rnacentral:sRNA from 1 species
CUGGUCGUUUUUUGCUCAAGCGCCCGUGGCCAGUGGGGUAAAAAGGCAGCCAAGGUGAAAAAAAAGUGUCCGCCUUGCGCCCCGUCAGUUUACUUACUACAAGUUAUGGGUAGUAUGUACGCCGGCUAAUUUCCCACGCUCGGGGAA